AAUAAAGUGCCUGACAAAAGGGUUAUUUUGAUAGAAUAAAUCAUGUGUUUACACCUUUAUUA
rnacentral:tRNA from 1 species